GACGAACGCUGGCGGCGUGCUUAACACAUGCAAGUCGAACGGAAAGGCCCUGCUUUUGUGGGGUGCUCGAGUGGCGAACGGGUGAGUAGCACGUGAGUAACCUGCCCUUGACUUUGGGAUAACUUCAGGAAACUGGGGCUAAUACCGGAUAGGAGCUCCUGCUGCAUGGUGGGGGUUGGAAAGUUUCGGCGGUUGGGGAUGGACUCGCGGCUUAUCAGCUUGUUGGUGGGGUAGUGGCUUACCAAGGCUUUGACGGGUAGCCGGCCUGGGAGGGUGACCGGCCCCAGGGGGAUAGGGGAGGCGGCAGAGGGCAAUAGGGGGGAAGGGGGGGGAAAAUGUGGCAGAGGGGCCGAGGCUUUGAGGAAGGACCCCGGGUGGGGAAGUACGGCCUGCGGGGGGGAAACGCGUUUAGUCUAUACCGAAGCGUAGUGACGGGAAAUGGGGAAGAAGGACCGGCUAACUCCGUG
rnacentral:rRNA from 1 species